rnacentral:rRNA from 1 species
CAGUAGCCGCGGUAAAACGGAGGGUGCAAGCGUUAAUCGGAAUUACUGGGCGUAAAGCGCACGCAGGCGGUUUGUUAAGUCAGAUGUGAAAUCCCCGGGCUCAACCUGGGAACUGCAUUUGAAACUGGCAAGCUAGAGUCUCGUAGAGGGGGGUAGAAUUCCAGGUGUAGCGGUGAAAUGCGUAGAGAUCUGGAGGAAUACCGGUGGCGAAGGCGGCCCCCUGGACGAAGACUGACGCUCAGGUGCGAAAGCGUGGGGAGCAAACAGGAUUAGAGACCCCAGUAGUCCCUGUCUCUUAUAC